AAGGAAUAUUGGUCAAUGGAGGCAACUCUGAACCAGCCAUGCCGCGUGCAGGAAGACGGCCCUAUGGGUUGUAAACUGCUUUUGUACCAGAGAAAACCCCUUUACGUGUAGAGGGUUGAUAGUACGGUAAGAAUAAGCAUCGGCUAACUUCGUGCCAGCAGCCGCGGUAAGACGAAGGAUGCAAGCGUUAUCCGGAUUCAUUGGGUUUAAAGGGUGCGUAGGCGGACUUGUAAGUCAGUGGUGAAAUCUCUCAGCUUAACUGAGAAACUGCCAUUGAUACUGCAGGUCUAGAGUAUAGAUGACGUUGGCGGAAUAUGACAUGUAGUGGUGAAAUACUUAGAUAUGUCAUAGAACACCGAUUGCGAAGGCAGCUAACGAAACUAUAACUGACGCUGAGGCACGAAAGUGCGGGGAUCAAAC
rnacentral:rRNA from 1 species